ACGCUUUUAGUUCAGUUGGUAGAACGUAGGUUUCCAAAACCUAAUGUCGUAGGUUCAAUUCCUACAAAGCGUG